AAUCUUCCGCAAUGGACGCAAGUCUGACGGAGCAACGCCGCGCGAGUGAUGAAGGNUUNNGGAUCNUNAAAAGCAGUUGUUAGNNNNNAACACUGACCGAUUGAAUAAGGCGGUACCUUGUCGGUACCUAACGAGAAAGCCUCGGCUAACUACGUGCUAGCAGCCGCGGUAAUACGUAGGGGGCAAGCGUUGUCCGGAAUUAAUGGCCGUAAAGCGCGCGGAGGCGGUCUUUUAAGUCUGAUGUGAAAGCCCACGGCGCAACCGUGGAGGGUCAUUGGAAACUGGGAGACUUGAGUGUAGGAGAGGAAAGUGGAAUUCCACGUGUAGCGGUGAAAUGCGUAGAGAUGUGGAGGAACACCAGUGGCGAAGGCGACUUUCUGGCCUACAACUGACGCUGAGGCGCGAAAGCGUGGGUAGCGAACA
rnacentral:rRNA from 1 species